rnacentral:rRNA from 1 species
CGCGGUUAUACCAAGUGAUUAAGUUAUAUUUUUAGGUAAAAAGACAGUUAGGUUUAUAUAGUUUUAGUUUAUUAAACAUCUAUAAAAAAGUAAAAUUUGUAUAUAGAUAGUUAAUUCAAAAAUAACUAAUAGUACUGAAGCUGUGAUAGUCUUGAGGGAAACUGGGAUUAGAUACCCCAUUAUUCUUGACUGUAAAUAUAAUUAAAUUUACCAGAGUACUAUGAAUAGUUAAAAAUUUAAAACUCAAAGGGCUUGGCGGUGUUUUAGACCUAUCAGGGGAACCUGUCUCAUAAUCGACAAUCCGCGUAAUAUCUAACCUUAUUUUGUAAUCAGUUUGUAUACCGUCGUCGUCAGGUAACUUUUAAAAACAUAGAAGUUAGCAAUUAAAACCACUUUAAAUUAAAACGUCAGAUCAAGGUGCAGCCUAUAAUAAGGAGAGGAUGGGUUACAAUUAUAAAAUUUAUAAUUACGGAAAUCUAAAUGAAACCUAUUUUGAAGGAGGACUUGAAAGUAAACUAAAAUACAUAAAUAGCUUGAAUAAGGCUCUG